CGGACGUUGACGCGUUUGAAGCGAUAAUCAGGACAUCAUUUGGGAUGACAACAAUUUUGAAUGCCUCACUAGAACUUAUUUGAGUACAGUCGACUCUCGUUAUGUCGAAGUCAGCCGGACCAGAAAAAUAUUUCGAGAUACACGUAGUUCGACUCAAACAAACACCGGAAGUUCGACAAUCUAAGGGACACAACUCUUGCUUAGCUUGGUAAAGCUAAAAUAAAUCCGGGUGAAUAUGGCAAGGGGAUCGAUAUUCUAGUAUCAGAUCGAUGUAUUUGUAUGUCACAGUCUUUUAUUAUUAUAAUGACAUUUUUUUUUACUUAUUCAAUUAAAAAAAAAAAUCCUAUGACUUUUCCAAGAGCGUAAUUUCCAAUCGAUAGUUUCGUUAUUCAGGUCGGUUAUAGCUGACAAAAUUGUUUAUUCUCGGAAACAAGAGAUUUAAGAAAAUUUUGAUUUCUAUUCAUUUUGUUUUAUCUCACUCUUUCUUUUCAAAAGAAAAUAUAACAAGGUUAAAGACGCCGUUUGAGUAGUUUUUAGGUGAUCAUCAACGGAAGCCAUAAUCCUCACUUUAUACACACCCAAGCUCAUUAGUGUAAAUCACAAAUUAAUUGUUUUGUAAACAUUUUAAAUACUUGUUCAUGAACAUUAACAAUGUAUCACUAAUUAUUUAUAAAAAUUCUAUAAAAGAUAAUCUUAGGUAAACACUCAUGGAAAUAGCAUGUCAUAAAUCAAUAUAGUG
rnacentral:lncRNA from 1 species